AAAAGGAUUUUCAAAUAAUUAUGUAUAAAAGAUGUGGUGUGUUGCGUUGUUUUUGGGAAUAAAAACUUAAGUGUUAAUAUAUUGGUAGUGAUAAGAGCUGUGACUGAAAACCGAAGCGUUGGAACAUUGCUCACGAGUUUACGGCUCGUUAAUUCUGCAGAUAGUGAAACCGAAAAGAGAUCUUUGCUGCGUCCGCUCAUCGAAGUGAUAAAAUUUAUGACGUACGAGUUAUGGUUACUACGGCAACAGAAACAAUAAGUGCCACAAUGAGAACAUGAUUCGGUGGCGAGCACGAGCGAAGCAUUUAUCGGGAUGAGCGGGCAGCGCGUGGGGCAGAGCGUGGGGCGGUG